rnacentral:rRNA from 1 species
GAUGAACGCUGGCGGCGUGCCUAAUACAUGCCAGUCGAGCGAACGGACGAGAAGCUUGCUUCUCUGAUGUUAGCGGCGGACGGGUGAGUAACACGUGGAUAACCUACCUAUAAGACUGGGAUAACUUCGGGAAACCGGAUCUAAUACCGGAUAAUAUUUUGAACCGCAUGGUUCAAAAGUGAAAGACGGUCUUGCUGUCACUUAUAGAUGGAUCCGCGCUGCAUUAGCUAGUUGGUAAGGUAACGGCUUACCAAGGCAACGAUGCAUAGCCGACCUGAGAGGGUGAUCGGCCACACUGGAACUGAGACACGGUCCAGACUCCUACGGGAGGCAGCAGUAGGGAAUCUUCCGCAAUGGGCGAAAGCCUGACGGAGCAACGCCGCGUGAGUGAUGAAGGUCUUCGGAUCGUAAAACUCUGUUAUUAGGGAAGAACAUAUGUGUAAGUAACUGUGCACAUCUUGACGGUACCUAAUCAGAAAGCCACGGCUAACUACGUG